GACGAACGCUGGCGGCGUGCUUAACACAUGCAAGUCGAACGGAAAGGCCCUGCUUUUGUGGGGUGCUCGAGUGGCGAACGGGUGAGUAACACGUGAGUAACCUGCCCUUGACUUUGGGAUAACUACAGGAAACUGGGGCUAAUACCGGAUAGGAGCUCCUGCUGCAUGGUGGGGGUUGGAAAGUUUCGGCGGUUGGGGAUGGACUCGCGGCUUAUCAGCUUGUUGGUGGGGUAGUGGCUUACCAAGGCUUUGACGGGUAGCCGGCCUGAGAGGGUGACCGGCCACAUUGGGACUGAGAUACGGCCCAGACUCCUACGGGAGGCAGCAGUGGGGAAUAUUGCACAAUGGGCGGAAGCCUGAUGCAGCAACGCCGCGUGCGGGAGGACGGCCUUCGGGUGGUAAACCGCUUUCGCCUGUGACGAAGCGUGAGUGACGGUAAUGGGUAAAGAAGCACCGGCGAACUACGU
rnacentral:rRNA from 1 species